UGGCUCGCGCCCGUAGUCUGGAGAAUUAAUCGCCAGGGUUGCGUUGCGGUGUGCCCCGGUUCGAGUCUUAGCGCGCCGGAUCGGCCGGUUUCCGCGACGUUUCUAAGACCCCGUCAGCCGACUUCUCCAGUUUACGGGAGCGAGCCCUCUUUUUUUUUUUUGUUUUUUGUUGCCCAGAUGCAUCCCGUGCUGCGACAGAUGCGCCCCCAGCAACAGCCCCCUUCUCAGCAGCAGCUACAACGACAGCCACAAAAGGCUCUUCCUGCUCCUGUAACUACUGCGGCUGCAGCCGUCAGCGGCGCGGGACAGCCCGCCUAUGAUCUGGAGUUGGAAGAGGGCGAGGGACUGGCGCGCCUGGGCGCACCAUCGCCCGAGCGGCACCCGCGGGUGCAACUGAAAAAGGACUCUAGCGAGGCGUACGUGCCCCAGCAGAACCUGUUCAGGGACAGGAGCGGUGAGGAGCCAGAGGAGAUGCGAGCAUCUCGAUUUAACGCGGGUCGCGAGCUGCGCCACGGUCUGGAUCGAAGACGGGUGCUGCAAGACGAGGAUUUUGAGGUCGAUGAAGUGACAGGGAUCAGCCCAGCUAGGGCACAUGUGGCCGCGGCCAACCUAGUCUCAGCCUACGAGCAGACCGUGAAGGAGGAGCGCAACUUCCAAAAAUCUUUUAACAACCAUGUGCGCACCCUGAUCGCCCGCGAGGAAGUGACCCUGGGUCUGAUGCAUCUGUGGGACCUGAUGGAGGCUAUCACCCAGAACCCCACUAGCAAACCCCUGACAGCUCAGCUGUUUCUGGUGGUUCAACAUAGCAGGGACAACGAGGCAUUCAGGGAGGCGUUGUUGAACAUCACCGAGCCUGAUGGGAGAUGGCUGUAUGAUCUGAUCAACAUCCUGCAAAGUAUUAUAGUGCAGGAACGUAGCCUGGGUUUGGCUGAGAAAGUGGCAGCUAUCAACUACUCGGUCUUGAGCCUGGGCAAAUACUACGCUCGCAAGAUCUACAAGACCCCCUACGUACCCAUAGACAAGGAGGUAAAGAUAGAUGGGUUUUACAUGCGCAUGACUCUCAAGGUGCUGACUUUGAGCGACGAUCUGGGGGUGUAUCGCAAUGACAGGAUGCACCGUGCGGUGAGCGCCAGCAGGAGGCGCGAGCUGAGCGACAGAGAACUUAUGCACAGCUUGCAAAGAGCUCUAACGGGGGCUGGGACCGAUGGGGAGAACUACUUUGACAUGGGAGCGGACUUGCAAUGGCAACCCAGUCGCAGGGCCAUGGAGGCUGCAGGGUGUGAGCUUCCUUACAUAGAAGAGGUGGAUGAAGUCGAGGACGAGGAGGGCGAGUACUUGGAAGACUGAUGGCGCGACCCGUAUUUUUGCUAGAUGGAACAGCAGCAGGCACCGGACCCCGCAAUGCGGGCGGCGCUGCAGAGCCAGCCGUCCGGCAUUAACUCCUCGGACGAUUGGACCCAGGCCAUGCAACGCAUAAUGGCGCUGACGACCCGCAACCCCGAAGCCUUUAGACAGCAACCCCAGGCCAACCGCCUUUCGGCUAUACUGGAGGCCGUAGUACCCUCCCGCUCCAACCCCACCCACGAGAAGGUCCUGGCUAUCGUGAACGCGCUGGUGGAGAACAAGGCCAUCCGUCCCGAUGAGGCCGGGCUGGUAUACAAUGCUCUCUUGGAGCGCGUGGCCCGUUACAACAGCAGCAACGUGCAGACCAACCUGGACCGGAUGGUGACCGAUGUGCGCGAGGCCGUGUCUCAGCGCGAGCGGUUCCAGCGCGACGCCAACUUGGGAUCGUUGGUAGCGCUAAACGCUUUCCUCAGCACCCAGCCCGCUAACGUGCCCCGUGGUCAGCAAGACUAUACAAACUUUUUGAGUGCAUUGAGACUCAUGGUAGCUGAGGUGCCUCAGAGCGAGGUGUACCAGUCCGGGCCAGAUUACUUCUUCCAGACCAGCAGACAGGGCUUGCAGACAGUGAACCUGACUCAGGCUUUCAAGAACCUGAAGGGUCUCUGGGGAGUGCACGCCCCAGUAGGGGAUCGCGCGACCGUGUCUAGCUUGCUGACUCCCAACUCCCGCCUGCUGCUGCUGCUGGUAUCCCCCUUUACUGACAGCGGUAGCAUUGACCGCAACUCGUACUUGGGCUACCUGCUUAACCUGUAUCGCGAGGCCAUAGGGCAGAGCCAGGUGGACGAGCAGACCUAUCAAGAAAUCACCCAAGUGAGCCGCGCCCUGGGUCAGGAAGACACGGGCAGUUUGGAAGCCACCCUGAACUUCUUGCUAACCAACCGGUCGCAGAAGAUCCCUCCUCAGUAUGCGCUUACCGCUGAGGAGGAGCGAAUCCUCAGAUACGUGCAACAGAGCGUUGGACUGUUUCUGAUGCAGGAGGGGGCGACACCUACCGCCGCGCUGGACAUGACAGCUCGAAACAUGGAGCCCAGCAUGUAUGCUAGUAACAGGCCUUUCAUUAACAAACUGCUGGACUACCUGCACAGGGCGGCCGCCAUGAACUCUGAUUAUUUCACCAAUGCUAUCCUGAACCCACACUGGCUGCCCCCACCUGGUUUCUACACUGGCGAGUACGACAUGCCCGACCCCAAUGACGGGUUCCUGUGGGACGAUGUGGACAGCAGCAUAUUCUCCCCGCCUCCCGGUUAUACAGUUUGGAAGAAGGAAGGGGGCGAUAGAAGACACUCUUCCGUGUCGCUGUCCACAACGGCUGGUGCUGCCGCGACCGUGCCCGAAGCUGCAAGUCCUUUCCCUAGCUUGCCCUUUUCACUAAACAGCGUUCGCAGCAGUGAACUGGGGAGAAUAACCCGCCCGCGCUUGAUGGGCGAGGAUGAGUACUUGAAUGACUCUUUGUUGAGGCCAGAGAGGGAAAAGAAUUUCCCCAACAAUGGAAUAGAGAGCCUGGUGGAUAAGAUGAGUAGAUGGAAGACCUAUGCGCAGGAUCACAGAGACGAGCCCAAAAUCUUGGGGGCUACAAGCAGACCGACCCGUAGACGCCAGCGCCACGACAGACAGAUGGGUCUUGUGUGGGACGAUGAGGACUCUGCCGAUGAUAGCAGCGUGUUGGACUUGGGUGGAAGAGGAGGGGGCAACCCGUUCGCUCAUCUGCGUCCCAGAUUCGGGCGCAUGUUGUAAAAGUGAAAGUAAAAUAAAAAUGCAACUCACCAAGGCCAUGGCGACCGAGCGUGCGUUCGUUCUUUUUUGUUAUCUGUGUUUAGUACGAUGAGGAGACGAGCCGUGCUAGGCGGAGCGGUGGUGUAUCCGGAGGGUCCUCCUCCUUCUUACGAGAGCGUGAUGCAGCAACAGGCGGCGAUGCUACAGCCCCCACUGGAGGCUCCCUUCGUACCCCCGCGGUACCUGGCGCCUACGGAAGGGAGAAACAGCAUUCGUUACUCGGAGCUGUCGCCUCUGUACGAUACCACCAAGUUGUAUCUGGUGGACAACAAGUCGGCGGACAUUGCCUCCCUGAACUAUCAGAACGACCACAGCAACUUCCUGACCACGGUGGUGCAGAACAAUGACUUUACCCCCACGGAGGCUAGCACCCAGACCAUCAACUUUGACGAGCGGUCGCGAUGGGGCGGUCAGCUGAAGACCAUCAUGCACACCAACAUGCCCAACGUGAACGAGUACAUGUUCAGCAACAAGUUCAAGGCGAGGGUGAUGGUGUCCAGAAAAGCUCCUGAAGGUGUUAUAGUAAAUGACACCUAUGAUCAUAAAGAGGAUAUCUUAAAGUAUGAGUGGUUUGAGUUCACUUUACCAGAAGGCAACUUCUCAGCCACCAUGACCAUUGACCUGAUGAACAAUGCCAUCAUUGACAACUACCUGGAAAUUGGCAGACAAAAUGGAGUGCUGGAAAGUGACAUUGGUGUUAAGUUUGACACUAGAAACUUUAGGCUCGGGUGGGACCCCGAAACUAAGUUGAUUAUGCCAGGAGUCUACACUUAUGAGGCAUUCCAUCCUGACAUUGUAUUGCUGCCUGGUUGCGGGGUAGACUUUACUGAAAGCCGACUUAGCAACUUGCUUGGCAUCAGGAAAAGACAUCCAUUCCAGGAGGGUUUCAAAAUCAUGUAUGAAGAUCUUGAAGGGGGUAAUAUUCCUGCCCUUUUGGAUGUCACUGCCUAUGAGGAAAGCAAAAAGGAUACCACUACUGAAACAACCACACUGGCUGUUGCAGAGGAAACUAGUGAAGAUAAUAAUAUAACUAGAGGAGAUACUUAUAUAACUGAAAAACAAAAACGUGAAGCUGCAGCUGCUGAAGUUAAAAAAGAGUUAAAGAUCCAACCUCUAGAAAAAGACAGCAAGAGUAGAAGCUACAAUGUCUUGGAAGACAAAAUCAACACGGCCUACCGCAGCUGGUACCUGUCCUACAAUUACGGUAACCCCGAGAAAGGAAUAAGGUCUUGGACACUGCUUACCACUUCAGAUGUCACCUGUGGGGCAGAGCAGGUCUACUGGUCGCUCCCUGACAUGAUGCAAGACCCAGUCACCUUCCGCUCCACAAGACAAGUCAACAACUACCCAGUGGUGGGUGCAGAGCUUAUGCCCGUCUUCUCAAAGAGUUUCUACAAUGAGCAAGCCGUGUACUCUCAGCAGCUCCGACAGGCCACUUCGCUCACGCACGUCUUCAACCGCUUCCCUGAGAACCAGAUCCUCAUCCGCCCGCCGGCGCCCACAAUUACCACCGUCAGUGAAAACGUUCCUGCUCUCACAGAUCACGGGACCCUGCCGUUACGCAGCAGUAUCCGGGGAGUCCAGCGCGUGACCGUUACUGACGCCAGACGCCGCACCUGUCCCUACGUUUACAAGGCCCUGGGCAUAGUCGCGCCGCGCGUUCUUUCAAGCCGCACUUUCUAAAAAAAAAAAAAAUGUCCAUUCUCAUCUCGCCCAGUAAUAAUACCGGUUGGGGACUGUAUGCGCCCACCAAGAUGUAUGGAGGCGCCCGCAUACGCUCUACCCAGCACCCUGUGCGCGUUCGCGGUCAUUUCCGCGCUCCAUGGGGCGCACUCAAGGGUCGUACCCGCACUCGGACCACGGUCGAUGAUGUGAUCGACCAGGUGGUCGCCGAUGCUCGUAAUUAUACUCCUACUGCGCCUACAUCUACUGUGGAUGCAGUUAUUGACAGUGUGGUGGCAGACGCCCGCGCCUAUGCUCGCCGGAAGAGCCGAAGGAGGCGCAUUGCCAGGCGCCACAGGGCUACUACCGCCAUGCGAGCUGCAAAAGCUAUUCUGCGGAGGGCCAAACGUGUGGGGCGAAGAGCCAUGCUUAGAGCGGCCAGACGCGCGGCUUUAGGUGCCAGCAGCGGCAGGUCCCGCAGGCGCGCGGCCACGGCGGCAGCAGCGGCCAUUGCCAACAUGGCCCAACCGCGAAGAGGCAAUGUGUACUGGGUGCGUGAUGCCACUACCGGCCAGCGCGUGCCCGUGCGCACCCGCCCCCCUCGCACUUAGAAGAUACUGAGCAGUCUCCGAUGUUGUGUCCCAGCGGCAAGUAUGUCCAAGCGCAAAUACAAGGAAGAGAUGCUCCAGGUCAUCGCGCCUGAAAUCUACGGUCCACCGGUGAAGGAUGAAAAAAAGCCCCGCAAAAUCAAGCGGGUCAAAAAUAACAAAAAGGAAGAAGAUGACGAUGAUGGGCUGGUGGAGUUUGUGCGCGAGUUCGCCCCAAGACGGCGCGUGCAGUGGCGCGGGCGCAAAGUGCGUCAAGUGCUCAGACCCGGAACCACUGUGGUUUUUACACCUGGCGAGCGUUCCAGCACUACUUUUAAACGGUCCUAUGAUGAGGUGUACGGGGAUGACGAUAUUCUUGAGCAGGCGGCAGACCGCCUUGAUGAGUUUGCUUAUGGCAAGCGCACUAGAUCCAGUCCCAAAGAGGAGGCUGUGUCCAUUCCCUUGGAUCAUGGAAAUCCCACCCCCAGCCUCAAACCAGUCACCUUGCAGCAAGUGCUGCCCGUGCCUGCGCGGAGAGGCGUAAAGCGCGAGGGUGAGGACCUAUAUCCUACCAUGCAGCUAAUGGUGCCCAAGCGCCAGAGGCUAGAAGACGUACUGGAGAAAAUGAAAGUGGAUCCCGAUAUCCAGCCUGAGGUCAAAGUAAGACCUAUCAAGGAAGUGGCGCCAGGUUUGGGAGUACAAACCUUCGACAUCAAGAUUCCCACCGAGUCCAUGGAAGUGCAGACCGAACCUGCAAAACCCACAACCACCUCAAUUGAGGUGCAAACGGAACCCUGGACGCCCGCGCCCGUUGUCGCCCCCAGCACCACUCGAAGAUCACGACGAAAGUACGGCCCAGCAAGUCUUCUAAUGCCCAACUAUGCUCUGCACCCAUCCAUCAUUCCCACUCCGGGUUACAGAGGCACUCGCUACUAUCGAAACCGGAGCAACACCUCUCGCCGCCGCAAACCACCUGCAAGUCGCACUCGCAGUCGCCGCCGCCGCAACACUGCCAGCAAAGUGACUCCCGCCGCCCUGGUGCGGAGAGUGUACCGCGAUGGUCGCGCUGAACCUCUGACGCUGCCGCGCGCGCGCUACCAUCCAAGCAUCACCACUUAAUGACUGUUGACGCUGCCUCCUUGCAGAUAUGGCCCUCACUUGCCGCCUUCGCGUCCCCAUUACUGGCUACCGAGGAAGAAACUCGCGCCGUAGAAGGAUGUUGGGGCGAGGGAUGCGCCGCCACAGACGAAGGCGCGCUAUCAGCAGACGAUUAGGGGGUGGCUUUUUGCCAGCUCUUAUACCCAUCAUCGCCGCAGCGAUCGGGGCGAUACCAGGCAUAGCUUCCGUGGCGGUUCAGGCCUCGCAGCGCCACUAACAUUGGAAAAAACUUAUAAAUAAAAAAUAGAAUGGACUCUGACGCUCCUGGUCCUGUGACUAUGUUUUUGUAGAGAUGGAAGACAUCAAUUUUUCAUCCCUGGCUCCGCGACACGGCACGAGGCCGUACAUGGGCACCUGGAGCGACAUCGGCACGAGCCAACUGAACGGGGGCGCCUUCAAUUGGAGCAGUAUCUGGAGCGGGCUUAAAAAUUUUGGCUCGACCGUAAAAACCUAUGGGAACAAAGCUUGGAACAGCAGCACAGGGCAGGCUCUGAGAAAUAAGCUUAAGGAACAAAACUUCCAACAGAAGGUGGUCGAUGGGAUCGCCUCUGGUAUUAACGGCGUAGUGGAUUUGGCCAACCAGGCUGUACAAAAACAGAUAAACAGCCGCCUGGACCCGCCGCCCGCAACCCCUGGUGAAAUGGAAGUGGAGGAAGAACUUCCUCCGCUGGAAAAGCGGGGCGACAAGCGUCCGCGACCCGAGCUGGAGCAGACGCUGGUGACGCGCGCAGACGAGCCCCCUUCAUACGAGGAGGCAGUAAAGCUCGGAAUGCCCACUACCAGGCCUGUAGCUCACAUGGCUACCGGGGUAAUGAAACCUUCUCAGACACAUCGACCCGCCACCUUGGACUUGCCUCCUCCCCCUGCUUCUGCGGCACCUGUUCCCAAACCUGUCGCUACCAGAAAGCCCACCGCCGUACAGCCCGUCGCCGUAGCCAGACCGCGUCCUGGGGGCACACCGCGCCCGAAAGCAAACUGGCAAAGUACUCUGAACAGCAUCGUGGGUCUGGGCGUGCAGAGUGUAAAGCGCCGUCGCUGCUAUUAAUUAAAUAUGGAGUAGCGCUUAACUUGCUUGUCUGUGUGUAUGUAUCAUCACCACGCCGCCGCAGCAGAGGAGAAAGGAAGAGGUCGCGCGCCGAGGCUGAGUUGCUUUCAAGAUGGCCACCCCAUCGAUGAUGCCCCAAUGGGCAUACAUGCACAUCGCCGGACAGGAUGCUUCGGAGUACCUGAGUCCGGGUCUGGUGCAGUUCGCCCGUGCAACAGACACCUACUUCAGUAUGGGGAACAAGUUUAGAAACCCCACAGUGGCGCCCACCCACGAUGUGACCACCGACCGUAGCCAGCGACUGAUGCUGCGCUUCGUGCCCGUUGACCGGGAGGACAAUACAUACUCUUACAAAGUGCGGUACACCCUCGCCGUGGGCGACAACAGAGUGCUUGACAUGGCCAGCACAUUCUUUGACAUUAGGGGGGUGCUUGAUAGAGGUCCUAGCUUCAAGCCAUAUUCCGGCACAGCUUACAAUUCACUGGCUCCUAAGGGCGCGCCUAACACAUCUCAGUGGAUAGUUACAACGGGAGAAGACAAUGCCACCACAUACACAUUUGGCAUUGCUUCCACGAAGGGAGACAAUAUUACUAAGGAAGGUUUAGAAAUUGGGAAAGACAUUACUGCAGACAACAAGCCCAUUUAUGCCGAUAAAACAUAUCAGCCAGAGCCUCAAGUUGGAGAAGAAUCAUGGACUGAUAUUGAUGGAACAAAUGAAAAAUUUGGAGGUAGAGCUCUUAAACCAGCUACUAAAAUGAAGCCAUGCUACGGGUCUUUUGCAAGACCUACAAACAUAAAAGGGGGCCAAGCUAAAAACAGAAAAGUAACACCAACCGAAGGAGAUGUUGAAGCUGAGGAGCCAGAUAUUGAUAUGGAAUUUUUUGAUGGUAGAGAAGCUGCUGACGCUUUUUCGCCUGAAAUUGUGCUUUACACGGAAAAUGUCAAUUUGGAAACUCCAGACAGCCAUGUGGUAUACAAGCCAGGAACUUCUGAUGGUAACUCUCAUGCAAAUUUGGGUCAACAAGCCAUGCCUAACAGACCCAAUUACAUUGGCUUCAGGGAUAACUUUGUAGGUCUUAUGUACUACAACAGUACUGGAAAUAUGGGAGUUUUGGCCGGCCAAGCAUCACAACUGAAUGCAGUGGUUGACUUGCAGGACAGAAACACUGAACUGUCAUAUCAGCUUUUGCUUGAUUCUCUGGGAGACAGAAGCAGAUACUUCAGCAUGUGGAAUCAGGCUGUGGACAGCUAUGAUCCCGAUGUUCGUAUUAUUGAAAAUCAUGGCGUCGAGGAUGAACUGCCUAAUUACUGUUUUCCUCUGGAUGGCAUAGGACCAGGGAACAAAUAUCAAGGCAUUAAACCUAGAGACACUGCAUGGGAAAAAGAUACUAAAGUUUCUACAGCUAAUGAAAUAGCCAUAGGCAACAAUCAGGCUAUGGAAAUUAAUAUCCAAGCUAAUCUUUGGAGAAGUUUUCUGUACUCCAAUGUGGCUUUGUACCUUCCAGAUGUUUACAAGUACACGCCAACUAACAUUACUCUGCCCGCUAA
rnacentral:misc_RNA from 1 species